rnacentral:rRNA from 1 species
GACGAACGCUGGCGGCGUGCCUAAUACAUGCAAGUCGAGUGGAAUGAAGAAGAAGCUUGCUUCUUCUGAUUUUAGCGGCGGACGGGUGAGUAACACGUGGGCAACCUACCUUGUAGAUUGGGAUAACUCCGGGAAACCGGGGCUAAUACCGAAUAAUCCAUUUUGCUUCAUGGCGAGAUGUUAAAAGGCGGCUUCGGCUGUCACUACGAGAUGGGCCCGCGGCGCAUUAGCUAGUUGGUAGGGUAAUGGCCUACCAAGGCGACGAUGCGUAGCCGACCUGAGAGGGUGAUCGGCCACACUGGGACUGAGACACGGCCCAGACUCCUACGGGAGGCAGCAGUAGGGAAUCUUCCACAAUGGACGAAAGUCUGAUGGAGCAACGCCGCGUGAGUGAAGAAGGUUUUCGGAUCGUAAAACUCUGUUGUAAGGGAAGAACACGUACGAGAGUAACUGCUCGUACCUUGACGGUACCUUAUUAGAAAGCCACGGCUAACUACGUG